AGCGAUGUGGCUCAAUGGUAGAGCUCUUGCCUUCCAUGCGAAAGGCACUAGGUUGAAUCCCCAGCACCACCA
rnacentral:tRNA from 1 species